GAUGGGACUACAGAUGCCCACCAUCACGCCCAGGAAACACAAGAGACCUAAGUGUUAAACAUCACCAUGGGAAUGCAAUCAGCAUGAUUCAGACUAUGAAAAACUACAUAACAACGCCAGUCUCAGAAGUAAUAAAGGAAAAAUAGCAACUUUACAGUGAAGAAAGCUGAAAGAUACCACCUCAAUGAAAUGAUCAAGGAUAGCACCAUCCUCAGACAAAAAUCAUAGAAUCAGAUGGCAGCAAAUAUGGCGGAGUAGAGAACACCAAUGGUCUAACCCUCCAAAAAGCAACAAAUACACUGGCAAAUACUGUCAGAACCAACCUUCUCGAAACUCCCGAAACUAAUGGAAAGCUUACAGCAAUCAGGUAAAUGUUUAGUCAAGAAAAAAAGAACUAAAUCUCAGUAGGACAGUUUCGUGGCUUUUUAACUCACUCUUAUCUACUUCCAUGUUCCCCAGAUGACCAGUGGCCUUGAAGACAUCAGCCCACACUCCUGGUAGACAUACUCAGUACCAGAGGGAACUGAAUAGGCCUUAUUCUUUAAUAAAAAGAAAAAAAAAAUUGGGGUUGUUUGUUAUGACUUAUUUGGUGAUUUCCUGGAGGACAAGCUCAAAGGGACUGCCUUUCUCUUGCUUGACUUAGAACUCUCCCUGUGCUGAGGGGGCUAUUUGGGAAACUUCAACAAAAAUAUGUAAAGCAAAUGUUAGUCAGUGCUGCCUGGGGCAAGGGAUAUUGGGGGAAAACAACAGACUAACCAAAAAACUUGGGAGGAAAGUCUGGUGAAUGUGAUGCUCUGGUGAAUAAAGCUUUGAAAAGCACCCACAUAUUUCUGGAAAUCUAAAAGGUCAUACACAUGGCUACAAGUCUAAAAUGUUAAGGAAGUUUAGAUUCUAGCAUCACUGCUUAGAGGAGAUUACCCCCAGGAGAGCUGCCUCAACAGGAACAUCUACAAACUAUGUUUUAAGAACAAGACAUACAUUUUUAUCAUAUUAAGCCACUAAGACUUUGGAAUUAUUUGUUAUAGAGGCUGGCACUAAUUAUGUGAAUAAUACAGACUUGAAGGAAUCUAAAAGACGUGUAUGCCAUUUUGCUGGAAAAUAAUAGAGAACUUAUUUAAAUAAAAAUGUGUAACUUUAUACUAUGUUCUGUUCAAUUAGAAUCUCAGCAAGUAUACUUUCCUUAUACCAUUGAAUUGCUAACAGUAAACAGAAAAAAGAAAAAAACAGGUUGUUUACACGUGUAUACAUUUUUCAAUAAUUUACAUUGAGCCUUACACUGUAACAAUUUUAAAGCUUCAUGAAUCAAAUUUUUAUAAGUUGAAGUAUUUUUAAAUUAACUACAGAAUGAAAUAGUUUGUUCCUAAAAAGUUAGCUAAAGUUAAAAAUCUCCUGUUAGUCCUAUUUUAUCACAGUUUAAGGUCAUAGUCCAUACACUGGGUUUCUUAUAGUGAUCCUGGUCUAUAUUAUUUUUUAAUUAUUUUUUCCAAUGACACUGGUCAUGCAUCUUUCCAUUUCAAAGAAUUACUCAUAAACAUGGGGAAACUCGCUGGGUGCAGUGGCUCACAUCUGUAAUCCCAGCACUUUGAGAGGCUGAGGCGGGUAGAU
rnacentral:lncRNA from 1 species